AUGGGUACUAGAAGGCAUCUUCCGACAUCAUUGAAAGAAGAACUAAGUUCAUCAUUUGAACUUGACUGGGCUGCAGAAUACUUGCGCUUCUUUGUCCUGGCAGAGCAUUUGGGUACUGCCCCGAUUUUUUUUAAAGAAAAUAGCACUUGGGUGCCAAGUGCCAACAACUUGUUCUGGCUCCUCUGUAUCUUUGAAUACCAUCCGGAAGAGACAAGUUCGCCUUGCUUUGUUUUUCCGUGUGAGUCAUGUUAUUUGGAAACCCUCGGGUUUCAUCGGUAUCAAAUCCUGCUAGUUUCUCCAAGUUGA
rnacentral:rRNA from 1 species